UAAUCUUUUCCUCAUGUUCUUCCUCCCUGCUCUGUUCUUCUUUGAUAUAAAGAGAGCAACUAAGAACAGAGCAGGGAGGAAGAACAUGAGGAAAAGAUUAACA
rnacentral:miRNA from 1 species